rnacentral:rRNA from 1 species
GAUGAACGCUGGCGGCGUGCCUAAUACAUGCAAGUCGAGCGAACAGACGAGGAGCUUGCUCCUUUGACGUUAGCGGCGGACGGGUGAGUAACACGUGGGUAACCUACCUAUAAGACUGGGAUAACUUCGGGAAACCGGAGCUAAUACCGGAUAAUAUUUCGAACCGCAUGGUUCGAUAGUGAAAGAUGGCUUUGCUAUCACUUAUAGAUGGACCUGCGCCGUAUUAGCUAGUUGGUAAGGUAACGGCUUACCAAGGCAACGAUACGUAGCCGACCUGAGAGGGUGAUCGGCCACACUGGAACUGAGACACGGUCCAGACUCCUACGGGAGGCAGCAGUAGGGAAUCUUCCGCAGUGGGCGAAAGCCUGACGGAGCAACGCCGCGUGAGUGAUGAAGGUCUUCGGAUCGUAAAACUCUGUUAUUAGGGAAGAACAAACGUGUAAGUAACUGUGCACGUCUUGACGGUACCUAAUCAGAAAGCCACGGCUAACUACGU